rnacentral:rRNA from 1 species
UAGCUUGCUCCCUGAUGUUAGCGGCGGACGGGUGAGUAACACGUGGGUAACCUGCCUGUAAGACUGGGAUAACUCCGGGAAACCGGGGCUAAUACCGGAUGGUUGUUUGAACCGCAUGGUUCAAACAUGAAAGGUGGCUUCGGCUACCACUUACAGAUGGACCCGCGGCGCAUUAGCUAGUUGGUGAGGUAACGGCUCACCAAGGCGACGAUGCGUAGCCGACCUGAGAGGGUGAUCGGCCACACUGGGACUGAGACACGGCCCAGACUCCUACGGGAGGCAGCAGUAGGGAAUCUUCCGCAAUGGACGAAAGUCUGACGGAGCAACGCCGCGUGAGUGAUGAAGGUUUUCGGAUCGUAAAGCUCUGUUGUUAGGGAAGAACAAGUGCCGUUCAAAUAGGGCGGCGCCUUGACGGUACCUAACCAUAAAGCCACGGCUAACUACGUGCCAGCAGCCGCGGUAAUACGUAGGUGGCAAGCGUUGUCCGGAAUUAUUGGGCGUCAAGGGCUCGUAUGCGGUUUCUUAAGUCUGAUGUGAAAGCCCCCCGGCUCAACCGGGGAGGGUCAUUGCAAACUGGGGAACUUGAUUUCG